rnacentral:rRNA from 1 species
UACGUAGGCAGCGAGCGUUGUUCGGAGUUACUGGGCGUAAAGCGCGUGUAGGCGGCUCGAUAAGUCUGCUGUGAAAGUCCAGGGCUCAACCCUGGAAUGCCGGUGGAAACUGUCGGGCUAGAGUACGGAAGAGGUGAGUGGAAUUCCUGGUGUAGCGGUGAAAUGCGCAGAUAUCAGGAGGAACACCAAUGGCGAAGGCAGCUCACUGGGACGUUACUGACGCUGAGACGCGAAAGCGUGGGGAGCAAACAGG